rnacentral:pre_miRNA from 1 species
GCUCGCUUAUGAGUGAAUCGUGUUUGGCGCCUGGGACAAGUUUUUUUACUUGUGUGUGGAUAGUGUUCAGCACCAAGGACAGGUAUUUCUCUUA